rnacentral:rRNA from 1 species
UAAGGAAUAUUGGUCAAUGGACGCAAGUCUGAACCAGCCAUGCCGCGUGAAGGAUUAAGGUCCUCUGGAUUGUAAACUUCUUUUAUCUGGGACGAAAAAAGGCGAUUCUUCGUCACUUGACGGUACCAGAUGAAUAAGCACCGGCUAACUCCGUGCCAGCAGCCGCGGUAAUACGGAGGGUGCAAGCGUUAUCCGGAUUCACUGGGUUUAAAGGGUGCGUAGGCGGGGCAGGUAAGUCAGUGGUGAAAAUCCCUGGAGCUUAACUCCAGAACUGCCAUUGAUACUAUCUGUCUUGAAUAUUGUGGAGGUAAGCGGAAUAUGUCAUGUAGCGGUGAAAUGCUUAGAUAUGACAUAGAACACCUAUUGCGAAGGCAGCUUACUACGCAUAUAUUGACGCUGAGGCACGAAAGCGUGGGGAUCAAACAGGAUUAGAUACCCUGGUAGUCCACGCCCUAAACGAUGGAUACUCGACAUACGCGAUACACUGUGUGUGUCUGAGCGAAAGCAUUAAGUAUCCCCACCUGGGGAAGUACGACCGCAAGGUUGAAACUCAAAGGAAUUGACGGGGUCAUAGCUGUUUCCUG